AACGAACGCUGGCGGCAGGCCUAACACAUGCAAGUCGAACGCCCUAGCAAUAGGGAGUGGCAGACGGGUGAGUAACACGUGGGAACCUUCCCUAUAGUAUGGAAUAGCCCAGGGAAACUUGGAGUAAUACCGUAUACGCCCGAGAGGGGAAGAUUUAUCGCUAUAGGAUGGGCCCGCGUAGGAUUAGCUAGUUGGUGAGGUAAUGGCUCACCAAGGCGACGAUCCUUAGCUGGUCUGAGAGGACGACCAGCCACACUGGGACUGAGACACGGCCCAGACUCCUACGGGAGGCAGCAGUGGGGAAUAUUGGACAAUGGGCGCAAGCCUGAUCCAGCCAUGCCGCGUGAGUGAUGAAGGCCUUAGGGUUGUAAAGCUCUUUUGCCGGGGACGAUAAUGACGGUACCCGGAGAAUAAGUCCCGGCUAACUUCGUG
rnacentral:rRNA from 1 species